CAGCAGCAAAGAGGGGAGGCAGCUGAGAGGACAAGUUGGAAAACCAAAGAUUACCAUUUACUUACUGAAAAUGAAGGAGACACUAGAGGAUCUUUUGAUAUGUUUUCCAAGAAAACUGUGACAAAGGAUGCCCAAGGGAGGCUCUAAGUAUUUCACCGUGCCUGGCGACAUCACUUUCAAACUCUGAAAGAUUUUCACACAACAAAUGCAUAUAUCCAUCCUUGAGUGAUCUUGGGCCCAGGUCUGCAAUAAAACAAUGUCUAGUAGCACGAUGAGGAUAUCAGGAACUUGUUAGAGCUGGUUGGGAAGAGCAGUCCCAAAGAUCCAAGGAGCAGAAGAGGACCAACAACCACCAGGAGAUGGCAGCAGGGUGCUAAGCAGUGCUUGGUGUGUGGAGUUCACGGGCUGAUGGCGGAAUUCCAAGAUGGCAGCUAGGGUUGGCACCAGCUGCUCUGUGUUUGUGCCUGUAAGCAGAGUGAUGAGAAAACAGUCUGCACUAAAGGAGCUUACCUUGACUCCCUUGGUCCAGCAACAUCUGAUCAGCCAAGAGCUGUAAGUUAUAUGAGAUGAUUGUGUUGUAUGUCCUAGGGAGACAGGUUGGGGUUUAUAUCUCCAGUGUAAAACCCUUGAUCAAUAAAAUGCAAAUUGCCCUUCUCCAAGGACCCACCAGGCUUCUUUUCUUUUUUUAUUUUUAUUUUUAUUUAUUUAUUUAUUUUUACUUAUCUGCAUGGGAUGUGGGGCUUAAUUCCCUAAUCAAGGAUCUAACCUGUACCCCUCGGCACUGGAAGUAUGGAGCUUCAACCUCAGGACCACCAGGGGAGUCCCCCACAAGGUUUCUCGUGAAGAUAAUGGAGCCCUAGUUGCCCUGAAAGUUAUUUAGAAGAGACUUUUGCUUUCAGGGCCGAUGCACCAAAGUUGGGAGACACUGGCUUGAGCACAGUUUGGCAAAAUAGAUUAAACCCCAGUGACCACAG
ensembl:lncRNA